CAGCCGCCGCGGUAAUACGAAGGGGGCUAGCGUUGUUUGGAUUUACUGGGCGUAAAGCGCACGUAGGCGGACUUUUAAGUCAGGGGUGAAAUCCCGGGGCUCAACCCCGGAACUGCCUUUGAUACUGGAAGUCUUGAGUAUGGUAGAGGUGAGUGGAAUUCCGAGUGUAGAGGUGAAAUUCGUAGAUAUUCGGAGGAACACCAGUGGCGAAGGCGGCUCACUGGACCAUUACUGACGCUGAGGUGCGAAAGCGUGGGGAGCAAACAGGAUUAGAUACCCCGGUAGUCCCUGUCUCUUAUAC
rnacentral:rRNA from 1 species